UCGGGAGAUUCCGGGCUCUCUCUCUUGCUCUCUCUCACUGAGGCGUUCUCACUCUUGCUUGCUCUCACUCUGGGGCGCUCUCUAUAGAGUGGGGGAAGUUUGAUCUGCAAGGUUAAUUUGGCAUUUUGCUGUUUUGCAGAGGCCUCUGAGCCUUUCUGCCUUUUUCCUGUUUUCUGUCUCUGGAAUCGGCUUUGGGACCAUGUGCUGUUUCCUGGGACUGGCUGCCCAACUCUAGGACAAAUUGCAAGACGGCAGUGUGUUUGGUGCAUUAUUUAACCAUGAGGCUCUGCAGAUCUCUCCUUCCUCUUCCCCAUAGAUGCCACACCGUCUUCAUUAGUGGUCCUGCAGAUGAGAAGUGACAAAGGUGAAGCAGGAGGCAAAACUUUGCUGAGCAUCUCUGCCAGAACAAAAGCAUCUCUCACAAACUAUGCAGCUGCCUCAGCUGAGCUCACUUGUGCACUGAAGGUGGAAAUGCAGUUUGAAUGAAGGCAGGGCAAGAAAAUUUUUGAGAGCUUUCACAAUGGCUCAUCACAAGCACCAGACUGGAUUUCAUUGAGAGGAGUUCCACACAUGGAAAAUUCUCCUUGUCAUCGUUUCUCCAGCAUGCACUGUCACUUAAGUGACAAAGACAACAUACUGUGUAUUACCCCAUACCAUUAUGCUGGUGGUAAAUUUACCCUGGAAUUUCAUUCCAAAUGCUAAACGGUCGCUUUUCUCCAGAGUCUGAGUGAUUCCCUGUUUCACACCCUUUGUCUCCUCCUUCUGCUGAUGUUUGUUUUAACUGCAAAAACACAUAGAGCAAUACCAUGUGUACAAAGUAAUUCCUUUGACAGCUUACAAGCAGCCAAUCUAUGACUUCAUCUAGGCAUUGCCUUUACUUAACUCUCACAACUUUCAGAGUCAUAAAGCCUGGUUAGAUCCACCUUCCUGGGCAAAAUUACUCUUCAGCAAUAAACCCCACAGGGUGCUGGGCCUCCAAGGGAGAAGAGACGUUCCUACCAGCUGUCUUUGCUCAUUUGGAGCUGCUUAUGGUUGCUCAGGGAGUACUAGCCCUGACUGGUGAGCAAGUAGUACAAAGAGCAGAAGGUAAAACAAGUCUGUUCUCAUGCUGGUUGUGGCCAUUUGAAACCCUUCUCAUGGGCCAUCUGGGGAUUCUUUAAAAACUUCAUAUGAGAUGCUGUCUAAUCAGAAGCCCCAGUGUGAGCUGAGAUGUUGUAAAAUAAAUUGCUGAGCCAAAGAGAAAGUGGAUCUUCCUUGCCAUUUCCUAGGGUAGUUCCUCACCCCCACCCCCAAAAAACCCUUGUCUCUCAUGCA